GACGAACGCUGGCGGCGUGCUUAACACAUGCAAGUCGAACGGAAAGGCCUCUUUCGGGGGGUACUCGAGUGGCGAACGGGUGAGCAACACGUGAGUAACCUGCCCUUGACUUUGGGAUAACUUCAGGAAACUGGGGCUAAUACCGGAUAGGAGCUCCUGCUGCAUGGUGGGGGUUGGAAAGUUUCGGCGGUUGGGGAUGGACUCGCGGCUUAUCAGCUUGUUGGUGGGGUAGUGGCUUACCAAGGCUUUGACGGGUAGCCGGCCUGAGAGGGUGACCGGCCACAUUGGGACUGAGAUACGGCCCAGACUCCUACGGGAGGCAGCAGUGGGGAAUAUUGCACAAUGGGUGGAAGCCUGAUGCAGCAACGCCGUGUGCGGGAGGACGGCCUUCGGGUUGUAAACCGCUUUCGCUCAUGACGAAGCUUUGUGUGACGGUAGUGGGUAAAGAAGCACCGGCUAACUACGUG
rnacentral:rRNA from 1 species